GCUCAGGACUGCCCAGUGUGCAGUGGUGUGAGGAGGGGGCGUAUCCUAGGCAUCACACUACCUCUCCCUCCCCCUCACUGCACAGAGUUGGGCUGGUCACAGCC
ensembl:miRNA Mir3541 microRNA 3541